GCUAAGCGGAACGUUGGUCCCUAGGCCGCGUUUCCAGCCGGGGCUGUUUUCCGUGCCCGGGGCGGUUUCGGGGGCGCGCUGGCGGAAGCGGAAGUGGUGGCGGGCGGGAUGGAGGAGCCGGAGAUGCAGCUGAAGGUGAAGAAAGUGACGGACAAGUUCACGGAGAGCCUGUACGUGCUGGCCAACGAGCCCUCGGUGGCGCUGUUCCGGCUGCAGGAGCACGUGCGGCGCUCGCUGCCCGAGCUGGCCCAGCACAAGUCGGACAUGCAGAGCUGGGAGGAGCAGAGCCAGGGAGCCAUUUACACCGUGGAGUACGCCUGCAGUGCCAUCAAGAGCAUGAGUGACAGCAGCGUUUACUUCAAGAGCAUCGACAGCCUGCUCAAGCAUUCCAUAGCCAUGAAGGAGCAGCUCAACGCUGCCCAGGGCCGCAGCACCAUCACCCCCCAAGCCAAGAAUCCUCCGGGCACUUCCUGAAUUUCUGAUUUUCCAUCCUGGAUUUCCCAACCUUGGGAAGAAGCCAAAAAAACCUCUGGGGCUGCACAGGUGGAGAAGCCCCUGAAUUCCCAGGAAAACACAAAAAAGAAGAGCUGGAAAAUCCCAAAUCCUGCUUUUUGGGACCUCUUUUCCAUGGAAAACAGGGGAAAUAUUUUUGCUCUCCUCCGUUAAUGAAGCGUUGGAAGAGGCUGAGGAGGCGCUGCUGGAAUUUCUCCAGCCCGGUGCUCCGCGCAGAGCCGGGCCUGAUUGGAUUCUCCAAUUAAGGGACAAAAAGGAGCUGUUGAAGCGUCGUCAUUCCCUUUCAGCGAGUUUUGACUGAAGUCAGAGAGGUCCCAAAAUUGCGUGAGCCACCCCACCAAGUCCAGUCGUCACCAAAAUCCUUUAAAAUCAGAUUAUCCCCGAGUUGUUUUUUAGUUUUAACCCAGGCGCUGGGCCAGGAGCCCCCAGCCCAUUCCAAAUCCAAGAUUUUCCAAUUAUGGAAAUGAAACCCCCUGGAUUGCGCAGCCAGGUUAAACCUGCCGGCCCCAAUUUCUGGAGUCUCUAAAACUCAAAUUAAAGGGCUCAGUUCCAGCCCUGGGGUUCACGGAGAGGAAUUUGGGGGAUUUUCCACCCAUUGCUCCCCACAGCCCCUUUUGGAGGGGACCCAGCAAAUCCUCACGGGGGUUUUGGGGCACGGGCGGAGUUGGCACCGGGACCCCUCAUUCCCUGAUCCCGCUGCGUCCUCCAGCCCUUCCCUUCUGCCCGGACCGCUCGGAGCAUCCCCGGUUCCCCCGGACCCCUCCGAGGAUUCCUGGAUCCCCCGGACCCUUCCGGGCAUUCCCGGUCCCUCCGGUUGCCCUGGACUCCUCCGGGCAUCCCCGGUUCCCCCGGACCCCUUAGAGGAUUUCCUGUUCCCCCGGAACCCUCCGGGCAUCCCCGGUCCCUCCAGCCCCGGUCCCCGUUUAUCCCGAGCCCCCCGGUCCCUCCAGCCCCGGUCCCCGUUUAUCCGAGCCCCUCCAUUCCCGUUCCCCGCCUCUCCCGCUCCCCCCGGUUCCCGGUGUCCCCGCCCGGCGCUCUCACCGCUCGGGCCCGCGCUGCCCCCGGCCCAG